CAGCAGGAAUAAUUAACCAGUGCUUUGCUCUUUGGGGAUUACACAGCUAACCAUCCAUAACCCACAUGAGGUUGUUCUCUCUGCAAAUCAGUUCCAGCACGAUUUUUGAACCAGGGGGUUCCAAAGAGGGCAUCUCAUGAAGGUGGUGUGAGAAAGAUACCUACACCAUAAGCCAGCAAGCAAGGAGAAGGGGAAGGAGUGACUAUGACGGAAGAGAUGGAGUGGGUGGCGCUGAAGGGAAGGCCAGCAGGCAUGCCGGUGUCGAUAGAGGACAUCCCACCACUGUAAUA
rnacentral:lncRNA from 1 species